AUUGAACGCUGGCGGCAGGCCUAACACAUGCAAGUCGAGCGAGCGGCGGACGGGUGAGUAAUGCCUAGGAAUCUGCCUGGUAGCGGGGGAUAACUACGCGAAAGCGUAGCUAAUACCGCAUACUAUUGGAGCGGCCGAUAUCGGAUUAGCUAGUAGGUGGGGUAACGGCUCACCUAGGCGACGAUCCCUAGCUGGUCUGAGAGGAUGACCAGCCACACUGGAACUGAGACACGGUCCAGACUCCUACGGGAGGCAGCAGUGGGGAAUAUUGCACAAUGGGCGCAAGCCUGAUGCAGCCAUGCCGCGUGUGUGAAGAAGGCCUUCGGGUUGUAAAGCACUUUCAGCGGGGAGGCGUUACCCGCAGAAGAAGCACCGGCUAACUCCGUGCCAGCCGCCGCGGUAAUUC
rnacentral:rRNA from 1 species